AGUAAUACAUCGGAACGUGCCCUGUAGUGGGGGAUAACUAGUCGAAAGAUUAGCUAAUACCGCAUACGACCUGAGGGUGAAAGUGGGGGACCGCAAGGCCUCAUGCUAUAGGAGCGGCCGAUGUCUGAUUAGCUAGUUGGUGAGGUAAAGGCUCACCAAGGCGACGAUCAGUAGCCGGUCUGAGAGGACGAUCAGCCACACUGGGACUGAGACACGGCCCAG
rnacentral:rRNA from 1 species